rnacentral:rRNA from 1 species
CACGUAGGGUGCGAGCGUUGUCCGGAAUUAUUGGGCGUAAAGAGCUCGUAGGCGGUGUGUCGCGUCGGCCGUGAAAACCUGCAGCUUAACUGUGGGCGUGCGGUCGAUACGGGCAUCACUGGAGUUCGGCAGGGGAGACUGGAAUUCCUGGUGUAGCGGUGAAAUGCGCAGAUAUCAGGAGGAACACCGGUGGCGAAGGCGGGUCUCUGGGCAGUAACUGACGCUGGAGGAGCGAAAGCGUGGGGAGCGAACAGG